UACGGAGGGGGCUAGCGUUGUUCGGAAUUACUGGGCGUAAAGCGCGCGUAGGCGGACCUGCAAGUCGGGGGUGAAAGCCCGAGGCUCAACCUCGGAACUGCCUUUGAUACUGCGGGUCUCGAGUCCGGGAGAGGUGAGUGGAAUUCCUAGUGUAGAGGUGAAAUUCGUAGAUAUUAGGAAGAACACCAGUGGCGAAGGCGGCUCACUGGCCCGGUACUGACGCUGAGGCGCGAAAGCGUGGGGAGCAAACAGGG
rnacentral:rRNA from 1 species